rnacentral:rRNA from 1 species
UACGUAGGCAGCGAGCGUUGUUCGGAAUUACUGGGCGUAAAGAGUGUGUAGGCGGUGCUCUAAGUUCGGUGUGAAAUCUCCUGGCUUAACUGGGAGGGUGCGCCGGAAACUGGAGUGCUCGAGGGUGGGAGAGGAAAGCGGAAUUCCUGGUGUAGCGGUGAAAUGCGUAGAUAUCAGGAGGAACACCGAUAGCGAAGGCAGCUCGCUGGGACGGUACUGACGCUGAGGCGCGAAAGCGUGGGGAGCGAACAGG